rnacentral:rRNA from 1 species
AUUGAACGCUGGCGGCAUGCUUUACACAUGCAAGUCGAACGGCAGCGCGGGCUUCGGCCUGGCGGCGAGUGGCGAACGGGUGAGUAAUACAUCGGAACGUGCCCAGUAGUGGGGGAUAGCUCGGCGAAAGCCGGAUUAAUACCGCAUACGACCUGAGGGUGAAAGCGGGGGAUCUUCGGACCUCGCGCUAUUGGAGCGGCCGAUGGCAGAUUAGCUAGUUGGUGGGGUAAAGGCCUACCAAGGCGACGAUCUGUAGCUGGUCUGAGAGGACGACCAGCCACACGGGGACUGAGACACGGCACAGACUCCUACGGGAGGCAGCAGUGGGGAAUUUUGGAGAAUGGGCGAAAGCCUGAUCCAGCAAUGCCGCGUGUGUGAUGAAGGCCUUCGGGUUGUAAAGCACUUUUGGCGGGAACGAAAAGGACUGUGCCAAUACCACGGUUCGAUGACGGUACCCGCAGAAUAAGCACCGGCUAACUACGUG